CAUACGUCUUAUUUUACUAAAGAUAUCAAUGUCUCUGUUAAGGGUGCCCGUUCAACUUAAGACAAGAAUACUGGUUCCAUUGUUACUUUAAUUUUCCUAUCUGACGCCUACAUCUCAACCUCAACCAGAUUUUAUGACAAUUGACCUCUAGCUGUACCAGAUUACUUUUUUCUGUACUAGCAUACAUUUAAGCCUGUACUCAAAAACGAAAAAUGUGUAAUUAUCUAUGCC